rnacentral:rRNA from 1 species
CAAAGGCUUGGUCCUGACUUUACUGUCAACUUUAGCUAGACUUACACAUGCAAGUAUCCGCGACCCUGUGAGAAUGCCCCACAGUUUUCCGCCCGAAAACAAGGAGCCGGUAUCAGGCACACCCAACUAAUAAGCCCAUGACGCCUUGCUUAGCCACACCCUCAAGGGAACUCAGCAGUGAUAAACCUUAAGCUAUAAGUGCAAACUUGACUUAGUUAAAGCUAAGAGGGCCGGUAAAACUCGUGCCAGCCACCGCGGUUAUACGAGAGGCCCAAGUUGACAGACAUCGGCGUAAAGCGUGGUUAAGGAAAAUUUAAACUAAAGCCGAACACCUUCAGGGCAGUUAUACGCAUCCGAAGGCACGAAGCCCCACCACGAAAGUGGCUUUAUGACUCCUGACCCCACGAAAGCUAUGACA